AACGAACGCUGGCGGCAGGCUUAACACAUGCAAGUUGAGCGGGAAUCUUAAGUAGCUUGCUACUUGAGAGGAGAGCAGCGCACUGGUGAGUAACACGUGGGAACAUACCUUUUGGUGGGGGACAACAGUUGGAAACGACUGCUAAUACCGCAUAAGCCCUGAGGGGGAAAGAUUUAUUGCCGAAAGAUUGGCCCGCGGAAGAUUAGGUAGUAGGUGGGGUAACGGCCUACCUAGCCAACGAUCUAUAGCUGGUCUGAGAGGACGAUCAGCCACAUUGGGACUGAGACACGGCCCAGACUCC
rnacentral:rRNA from 1 species